ACUUUCUUAGUAUAAUAAAUAUAACUGACUUCCAAUUAGUAGACUCUGAUAAUAUUCAGAAGAAAGUA
rnacentral:tRNA from 1 species